rnacentral:rRNA from 1 species
GACAGAGGGUGCAAACGUUGUUCGGAAUUACUGGGCGUAAAGCGUGCGCAGGCGGUCUAUUAAGACAGGUGUGAAAUCCCCGGGCUUAACCUGGGAACUGCGCUUGUAACUGAUAGGCUGGAGUGUGGCAGAGGGGGGUGGAAUUCCACGUGUAGCAGUGAAAUGCGUAGAGAUGUGGAGGAACACCGAUGGCGAAGGCAGCCCCCUGGGCUAACACUGACGCUCAUGCACGAAAGCGUGGGGAGCAAACAGG